CUUCCUUCAAACCCUACAUGAUACCAACUCCAACCUCUGCUUCUCCCUUGACGAUUACUGCGACUUCGGCCCCAAUUUCUUCUACCGUAAUUGCCCCGGCGUAGUUAGCUCUGCCGAUCGAGAUAGUUUGAGCCGAACCUUUACUCUCCCAGUGCACAUCAAAGAAAGGUGGAAGUGAGACAAUGGACCUGAUUGAUUGCAGAAUAAAAGUUUGGUAGCCAGUGGACAAGCGCCAAAUCAAUUUGUGGGCUGUCUGGAGAUGGAUUACAUGUGGAUGCAAGUCUCAAACCCAUUCAUCAUCUUUUUUUACUUUAUUUAUAUUUUCUAUUUGUCGAACAUGACAUACAAAGAAAAAAUGGGAGAAUCAAAUCAAAAUUUAUAUUUAUAAUUUCCAAAUGUAAAUAUAUAUAUGUAUAUAUUGUUGUGGCUCUGCUGGU